rnacentral:rRNA from 1 species
GACGUAGGGCGCGAGCGUUGUCCGGAUUUAUUGGGCGUAAAGAGCUCGUAGGCGGCUUGUCGCGUCGACUGUGAAAUCCCGCGGCUCAACUGCGGGUCUGCAGUCGAUACGGGCAGGCUAGAGUUCGGUAGGGGAGACUGGAAUUCCUGGUGUAGCGGUGAAAUGCGCAGAUAUCAGGAGGAACACCGAUGGCGAAGGCAGGUCUCUGGGCCAUAACUGACGCUGAGAAGCGAAAGCAUGGGGGAGCGAGCAGG